rnacentral:rRNA from 1 species
GUGAGCCUACGGGAGGCAGCAGUGGGGAAUAUUGCACAAUGGGGGAAACCCUGAUGCAGCGACGCCGCGUGAGUGAGGAAGUAUUUCGGUAUGUAUAGCUCUAUCAGCAGGGAAGAAAAUGACGGUACCUGACUAAGAAGCCCCGGCUAACUACGUGCCAGCAGCCGCGGUAAUACGUAGGGGGCAAGCGUUAUCCGGAUUUACUGGGUGUAAAGGUAGCGUAGACGGACUUGCAAGUCUGAUGUGAAAAUCUGGGGCCCAACCCCGGAACUGCAUUGGAAACUGUAUAUCUAGAGUGUCGGAGG